rnacentral:rRNA from 1 species
GAUGAACGCUAGCGAUAGGCUUAACACAUGCAAGUCGAGGGGUAACGUGUUGGAAGCUUGCUUCCGAUGACGACGACCGGCGGAUGGGUGCGUAACGCGUAUGCAACUUGCCUCACAGUGGAGAAUAACCCGGAGAAAUCCGGACUAAUGUUCCAUACACUCUUAAGUACGCCUGUACAUGAGAGGAAAGAUUUAUCGCUGUGAGAUAGGCAUGCGUCCUAUUAGGUAGUUGGUGAGGUAACGGCUCACCAAGCCGACGAUAGGUAGGGGUGCUGAGAGGCAGAUCCCCCACAUUGGGACUGAGACACGGCCCAAACUCCUACGGGAGGCAGCAGUGAGGAAUAUUGGUCAAUGGAGGAAACUCUGAACCAGCCAAGUCGCGUGAAGGAAGAAUGUCCUAAGGAUUGUAAACUUCUUUAGCGAGCGAGUAAGGACUUCCACGUGAUGGGAGUUUGAAAGUAGCUCGAGAAUAAGUAUCGGCUAACUCCGUGCCAGCAGCCGCGGUAAUACGGAGGAUACGAGCGUUAUCCGGAUUUAUUGGGUUUAAAGGGUGCGCAGGUGGUCUUGCAAGUCAGUGGUGAAAAGCUGAGGCUCAACCUCAGCCUUGCCGUUGAAACUGCAAGACUUGAGAGUACAUGAUGUGGGCGGAAUGCGUAGUGUAGCGGUGAAAUGCAUAGAUAUUACGCAGAACUCCGAUUGCGAAGGCAGCUCACAAAGGUAUAUCUGACACUGAGGCACGAAAGCGUGGGGAGCGAACAGG